GACCUUGUAGCUCAGACGGUAGAGCAUCGUUUUAGAAAUGCGAAGGUCGCGGGUUCGAAUCCCAGCCGCGGUCA
rnacentral:tRNA from 1 species